UAGAAUCCAGGAACACACGGAAGGUGGAAGGAUGUCUUUUGGAAUCCAGAGGCUUUUUCUUUUUUGGACAUUGGUGGAGUCUAAGCAGCCCAUUUAUGGCAGAUGAUUAAACAUCAAUAAUUUUUCCGCCCAGGGUAGAUGGAAACGUGGCUUUGGUCUUUCCUUCCGACUGACAAUGACAGCUCACUAUGCCUCAGGCAGUGCGAGUGCUCUCUGUAACCCUCAUCCCACAUCCCUCUUCUUACGAUGCUUUUCCUGCUCUCCUGUCCACAGAUGAGCUACCGGAGUCUCACGCGGUGCGGCAGCUGACUCAGGAGCACAGGCUGGCUGUAACCAGAAGGACGACACCCGGUGCUGGUGAGGAUGUGGAGGAACUGCGACCCAUGUACACUGCCGAUGGCACUGCACACGAGGACAGCACCACUGGAAAGCAGUCUGAUAGUUACUUAAAGCAUCAAGCAUACAUUUGUCCUAUGACCCAGCAAUUCUAUUGCUAGAAACCUACCCAAGAGAAAUAAAAACAGACUCGACACAAAGACACA